UAAGUUUUUGCUGAUCUUCAGAUAUAAAUCUUCUGGUCUUGGGAGGCAGUGUGCUGUGUAAACUAGUCUUGGCAGGCAACGUCGUGCGACCAGUUGCUAUAAUUUUCUGAAGCAAGGUUAUGGAACGUGCUGUUGUCAUGUAAUAUCUGAUGGUACCACAAGUUUCUUUCUUUUCUUUUCUUUUCUUUUUUUUAACCUAAGCGGCUACUCAUAUUUUACAUGUACGAAUACAUUCAAUAAAGUUAAAAAACAAAA
rnacentral:lncRNA from 1 species